rfam:Osedax symbiont Rs1 5221_129, whole genome shotgun sequence.
UUUGCGGCUCUAAACUGCCGGAUGCGCAAGCGGCCAAUGAAGCGGCCAACACCUUGCUACCCACGGCACUUGCCGGGGUAAACUUCGCACUACACACCG